UGGGGUGCAGCUCUGUGGUAGAGAGCGAGCUCAGCAUGCCUGAAGCCCUAGGUUCGAUUCCUAGCACCUCCA
rnacentral:tRNA from 1 species